rnacentral:miRNA from 1 species
GUCUCUGCCAAUUCUUCGUGU